rnacentral:rRNA from 1 species
UGAGGAAUAUUGGUCAAUGGACGAGAGUCUGAACCAGCCAAGUAGCGUGAAGGAUGACUGCCCUAUGGGUUGUAAACUUCUUUUAUACGGGAAUAACCUCCGGUACGUGUACCGGACUGCAUGUACCGUAUGAAUAAGCAUCGGCUAACUCCGUGCCAGCAGCCGCGGUAAUACGGAGGAUGCGAGCGUUAUCCGGAUUUAUUGGGUUUAAAGGGAGCGUAGGUGGAAUGUUAAGUCAGCUGUGAAAGUCCGCGGCUCAACCGCGAAAUUGCAUUUGAUACUGGCAUUCUUGAGUACGGCAGAGGUAAGCGGAAUUCGUGGUGUAGCGGUGAAAUGCUUAGAUAUCACGAAGAACUCCGAUUGCGAAGGCAGCUUACUGGACCGGCACUGACACUGAUGCUCGAAAGUGUGGGUAUCAAACA